AGAUGUGGGACGCGGGAUCCGUAUAAGCUCGGGAUCCGGCUUAUUGAUUUGGAUUUUCGGGUCGGGAGUAUGGGUUUCAGUUUCCUAAUCUCUCUUUUCUUUCACUCUUUCCUUUUCUCUUCAAACCCUAGAUCCAUUCAAUAUUUCUGGCCGUCACGCUCACAGGCGAUUUCUCAUCUCUGUAAUCGGAAUCCAUUCAUACGCUUCUUCCUUCUUUGGUGAUUCUUCAGUUUUAUGCACACAAUUUAAUCUUCCAAUUAAAAGAAAAACAAUUUAUGGGAAAGCUUGGGAAGAAAUUAUGCUUUGUAGUUUGCCCUAUUCGUCUUCACGUCCUUCGUAUACGCCAAGGGUUUCACGAAAUUCGGACAAAAAUUAAGCAUAGCCAACAAAAAUUGAUCAUAGAAUCGAUCAGUAGGCUGGUGUUGAUAAUAAGACCUUUUUUUCUAUUGACAUGAGGCUGUGAUGAACAUGUAUAUGUGAUUCAGAUCGGGGUGCCGCUUAAACUUUCACGUGGCAAAUUGGAUGGAUGGCAGGUGCUCACCUGCAACCUCCAAUGCAGCCAUGUUGGGUCUAUGAUUUUUCAAUUAUACAAUCUGAGAAUUGAAUAACUUAUACCUUCUCACUUUGAUAUCCAGGUAAUAUUGUAUUUAGGUGUAGAUAAUAAGUCCUAAUUUUGUAUUAAAUUAGUAUUUAAUACUUUUGGAUUAGCUUUUAUGGUUAUGUUUUCUGUUUCAGCAUCAUAUUAGGGACCAAAAUGGAAGCAAAUUUUUUAUUUCUUUCUAAAAAAACAACUAAUAGACUUUUGGGCUGUUUAACAUCACUCUGCAAACGCCAAGUCAUGAGGUGCAUUUGUAGCCUCGAAACCAAUUGAAUUCACUGGCACUUCACUUUCUUUUGUUUUCAAUUUUUUUAUUUUUUUACUGUUAUUUAAAAAAACUUAAAAAGAAUACCAACAAAGCUUAUUCGUUCUGGUUAUAUAUAUAUUACGACUAUAUUUUUUUCUCUCUUUCGAACGCAUCGAACCCGACCGGUUUCCACCUGCCUUACAUUCUGUUUCAGCAUCAAUGAAGCUUUCUUUCAAUAUAAAGGUUGUUGAAAUUGUGGUGAGUGGGUUUUAUGUUCAUCAUACUUGAGCAGUUCUGUGUAAUAUAGUCAAAUUAAGUUUUUACGAAUUUGAGUAAAAAUUUAUUCUUACCUAAUUUACUUUACUAAUGUACUUUCAAACUCAUGCAGAUCAAAACUAAAUAGAUCAGAUGUAACUUAUCAAUGUCUGAAGUGAGCUCAUGAAUAAUGUCCAUUAAUGAUCAAGGUAAUACACAUACAUGAAAAUUUGUUCAUCCACUUCUUCCUUCUCUGCCAAAACCACCAUUCUCCGCUUGAUUAAUUGGUGAAUUAGGUAAGAAAUCCUUCGGUCCUUAUUUUAUGAUGUAUAGAUGUGGCAUCGGUGCGUUGCAAGAGUUUGGGUUGUAAUUGGGAGUUUAUGUAUAUGAGUUAAGGUUAAAUCUUCAGUAUGAAGUUUGAGAUUUGUAAAUCACCGACAUGAAAUUCCUUUUUAUAUAUGAAUGGGUCAAUUUGAGUUGCAAUUUUAUCUAAGUUUUACCAAAAGUGUCAAAUAAUUUUUUUAAUAUGUCAAAUAAAUCAUAUAGUUUUUAUUACAUUCCAAUUCUCAAUUUGCUAUACAUAUACUUUCUGAUAAAUCAGUUGUUAACGAACUGUUGAUUCUGUAAUGUUUCACACUCAUGGAUUGACAGGCUAAAAAGAAUGGAAACCAAAUUGACAUAUCAGAGUUUCGAGCUCAGCUUGAUGCAUUGGGUUUGAAAAUUAUAGACGUUACAGCAGACGGAAAUUGCUUUUUCAGGUUUUGAACAUGCCUCUCUGGACUCAUCUAUAUCUUUUUUUAAAGAUUAAUUGGUAGGACCUGCUCCCUCUCAUCGAUAUCCGUGAUGGAUAUCUUGAAAUCACUUUCUUAUUUAAAGACCAGAUUUAUGGUUGAGCUAAAUGGUAUAGUCUCAUUUAGGAAUACUUGGUACCUCAAGAAUACAUCAAUACAUUGAUGGAGUCAAUGUUGAAUAGAUGUCCGACAUCUUCCUUUGUUUUUUAUAGUAUUAAUCUAAAUUUGUUUCAUUUGAAAGAUAUAAUUUUGACUCGGUGGUGGGUCAAACUCAAGAAGCAGUGGCACAACAUGAAUAAAACAGACCAAGGGUGCCGCUUUCUCUGACGUAGAGAGAUUCAAAGAUAACUAACUGUUGUUAUCUGCAGACGGCAGCAACGCUGACUAUGUGUUCCGGUUCAGUGAAGGCAGCCUAGCGGAGUUACGGUUUGGUAAGAUAUGAUGUCGGUUGGAAGUUUUAGGAUUCUGAUGAUGUCUGGUUAACUCCGGUGACCUGAACCAGUUUGGCUGCGAUUUCGACAACAUCAAUCUGAAUAAGUAUUUGAAUCAGGCACCUUUGAUACAACACAUAUGUGUUGCCGGCGAUUGUUAGUUGUUUUGAAGUUUUUGUUAAGGUAUUGAAAUAGUCUUUGUUUUGAAUCUUUUGCAAACAUAUUUCAGAAUGUUGCAGUUAAAAAGUGACGAUGGCAGCCUAGAGGGGUUAAAGUUUGGUAAGAAAUGAUGGCGGCUGGAAGUUUUAGGAUUCUAACGAAGUCUGUUUAACUCCGAUGAGAACUCGGUGACCUGAACCAGGGUUACGCAUGAAGGAGAGGAAGAAGAAAGAUGAACUGUUAAGUUGAAAAGAGGGGUGGAUAUCGUUGUCGGAGCAGUCGGUCGUGUUAAGGAUCACAUUGAGAGAGUGAAUCUUGACUUAUGCUCAUUGAAAUUCUGUAUCCUUGAUGAAGCUGAUGAAAUGUUGAGGCAAGGUCUUACAUCAAAGGGUGCAAGAUUUUCCAACCAUAACUCUGGGAGGCAUUCUGGAUCAAGACAGUGAUGACUUGCGACAUAUACCUGGUGUGAUGACCCCAACAGAAGAAAUUUUUAUCCUGUAUAAAUUGCGAACUACAGGACAGCUUGCGGCAACUCCGCCAUUCCGGUACUCGAACCUGUUCGCUCUCAUAAUCUGGCAGGGAACGUACCGAUGGUGUUGGUUUGUUCUUUUGACGGCCGAUCCGAUGUAGAUGUAUGUGUACUCAUUGGAAGAUUCAUUGGAUUUGAGUUUUUAACGACUCAUUUAAGACUACAACGAUCGCAGUUUUGGUUACGAAUCGAGAUGAAACAUAUAUCAUUGACUGGAAAAUAGCAGAGCCCAUCUGAGAUGAACCAUAAACCAUCGACUAAAAAGGAAGAGUGCCCAAAUGAUACAGUAAAUUAUUUUGCUUUUUAGUUAUAUGCUUGCUUGAUUAUGUGGGAAAACAUUAUAGUAAAAUGAUAAAUUUCAAGUUCUAAGUUUAUAUCCGACACAAUCCGGAUUAAUCUUUGUUUUCAUUGCUGAUUUAUGUAUAGCUUAUUGUGAAUUUUAGAAAAUUUAACAGGAAUGUUUUAUAUAGCAAAUCAUGGAUUAUGAUAGGAAAAGAUGGGAAGUCAUAAUUGAGAUAAAUAAUGAGAUAUGGCGUGUGUGUGUAUUGUAAAAUGGGCAGGUCAAGUAUGUUGGAGCCAGACGCCAUACUAAAUGGCACCAACGAGUUAGCUUUAUAAAACGGGUCGAGAAGGCAAGCUUUUUUAAACACGGAGAACGAUCAUUUUCCUCUUAACGGGUCAAAUGAGUGUAGUAUACUAAAGGGUCAAACAAGAUAGAUUUCUUACUUGUGUAACGGGUCAAACGAGUUUUUUUAAGUAUGUGUUUUUAGCUUAUGCGCUAAACUUAGUUGAGAAAUCUAAAACAAACUAACAAAGCCCGAAAGACCAUACCAAUAACAUUGAUAGGACUGCAAUUAGAGAAUGUAGCAGUACAAGCUGGUAAUGGGUUUAUUUGUAUCAACUCAAAAAAAUAUAGAAAACAUUAGUGCUUGAUGAGAAAUUUAGACAACGGUUAAAUCUACAUGAGAGAUUGUUGACCCGCGUCUUAUUGAUCUGUUUGAGAAUGAUCACUUAUUCAAACUUAUAGAAAUCUAUUUCUUUUUAUGUUUUCCAAAAUAAUUAUUUGCACAUGUGUCCGUUGACAUGGGAGGUGGUUCCAUCCUUGCUUACUUCAGCUCCCCCGACAGAGGAGGUAUUGCCAAUUGUGUAGCUUUUAACUUUUUCAUAGACCCGCUUGGCGAUUCCACACUUCCCUUCUUAUUAACACCUUUGAGCUUUUCUUGAUAGUGGUUUAUAGAUUCUUGUGAUUAUGAUUUUUGGGAUGGAUUUGUUUGAAUUAAGUUGUGGAUCUAUGAUUUCUGAAGAUGCAGAGGUGGAGUGUAGAUAGUGUGGUCCUCAUGUCUGCUUUUAUUUUAAAGAUGUGAAGGUAAACAUAUUUAAUUUCCAUGUUUGACCAAGAAUUCUUAACUCAAAUGUGUUGUAAAAACAUGGACAUUUUGGUUGUA